GGACUACCGGGGUUUCUAAUCCUGUUUGAUCCCCACGCUUUCGUGCCUCAGCGUCAAUAUCUGCUUAGUUAGCUGCCUUCGCAAUCGGUGUUCUAAGUCAUAUCUAUGCAUUUCACCGCUACAUGACUUAUUCCGCCAACCUCAACAGAAUUCAAGACUAAUAGUAUCAAUGGCAGUUUCCAAGUUAAGCUCGGAGAUUUCACCACUGACUUAAAAGCCCGCCUACACACCCUUUAAACCCAGUAAAUCCGGAUAACGCUUGCACCCUCCGUAUUACCGCGGCUGCUGGCAC
rnacentral:rRNA from 1 species